AACGAACGCUGGCGGCAGGCCUAGCACAUGCAAGUCGAACGCUGUAGCAAUACAGAGUGGCAGACGGGUGAGUAACGCGUGGGAACGUGCCUUUCGGUUCGGAAUAACUCAGGGAAACUUGAGCUAAUACCGGAUACGCCCUUCGGGGGAAGAUUUAUUGCCGAAAGAUCGGCCCGCGUCCGGUUAGCUAGGUGGUGUGGUAAUGGCGCACCAAGGCGACGAUCGGUAGCUGGUCUGAGAGGAUGAUCAGCCACACUGGGACUGAGACACGGCCCAGACUCCUACGGGGGGCAGCAGUGGGGAAUAUUGGACAAUGGGCGCAAGGCUGAUCCAUCCAUGCCGUGUGAGUGAUGAAGGCCCUAGGGUUGUAAAGCUCUUUCGCCAGGGACGAUAAUGACGGUACCUGGAUAAGAAGCCCCGGCUAACUUCGUGCCAGCCGCCGCCGUAA
rnacentral:rRNA from 1 species